GGUUUGUUAGCUCAGUUGGUUAGAGCGUGGUGCUAAUACUUGAGAUUAUACGCCAAGGUCGCGAGUUCGACCCUCGUACGAACCA
rfam:Sistotremastrum suecicum HHB10207 ss-3 unplaced genomic scaffold SISSTscaffold_280, whole genome shotgun sequence.